GCAGUUUCCCCUGCGCUUUUUCUCUCUCCUGUGCCUUGUGAAGAAAGUGCCUGCUUCGCCUUCACCUUCGGCCAUGAUUGUAAGUUUCCUGAGGCCUUCUCCGCCUGCAGAGCUCCUGACUCUUCAUUCCUGCCUUGUGUGACCCAGGGAUGGAGGACUGCCCUCCCAACUCAUUAUCCUCUUUGCCCAGGAGCUUGUCCUAGAAACAACCACAUGCUGGAGAAUGGAAUUCCAUAAGGUACUCUCUUAGAUAAAGGAAGUGCCAGCCAUCCUGUUGCCAUCUGCUAAAAUCCUCAGCCCACCUGCAUAGUGAACAGCAUUCAUUGUUUUCCAGAAAUGUGCAAGAACCACAGUCUCCCCCAAGACUGAAGAUCUGCUUCAUCGACAUGGCAGGGAACGUGGCUGAACACAGAGGACUCAUUUUUGCAGCUUCCCUACCAGAGAGAGAGAGACACCCUUUUUACCCGAGUUCUGAGUUGAAAUAUCCUAGAAGAGAACUCUGAUUGGCCUGGCUUGGGUCACAUGCCUGUCCUUGAGUUGAUCAACUGUGAUUAGUUAUAAGUGUACUCAUUAGUAACUUCCCCUGGAACCUUAGAUUUGAUGUGGGGUAACAUCAGGAAGCAUACUAUGUAAGACAGAUACAAAGGGGAGCUGCUGUAUGG
rnacentral:lncRNA from 1 species